rnacentral:rRNA from 1 species
CGUAGGGUGCAAGCGUUAAUCGGAAUUACUGGGCGUAAAGCGUGCGCAGGCGGUGAUGUAAGACAGAUGUGAAAUCCCCGGGCUCAACCUGGGAACUGCAUUUGUGACUGCAUCGCUGGAGUGCGGCAGAGGGGGAUGGAAUUCCGCGUGUAGCAGUGAAAUGCGUAGAUAUGCGGAGGAACACCGAUGGCGAAGGCAAUCCCCUGGGCCUGCACUGACGCUCAGGCACGAAAGCAUGGGGAUCAAACAGGAUUAGAUACCCUGGUAGUCCAUGCCCUAAACGAUGAUCACUUGAUGUCGGCCCUCGAGGGUCGGUGUCGAAGCUAACGCGUUAAGUGAUCCACUGGGGAGUACGCUCGCAAGGGUG